AGCAGCUGUGUCAAAUUCAGUGCCUGCUCAACCCAUGGCAGACACUGGCCCAAAAGGCUGCGACAGCAAUAUGUGACUCAUGGGCCCUGAUCCUCUAACCUGGGUCUCAGGGAUAAAUUUGGUUACAGACACUA